GAUACCCUAUUAUUAUGAAUGUUAAUUUGAUCUUUAUUUAUUAAUAGAUAAGUUCUUUAAAAUUAAAAGAUUUGGCGGUAUUUUAGUCUGUUCAGAGGAACCUGUUAUUUAAUUGAUGGUCCACGAUAAUUAUUACUUUAUUUUAAAAUUUAUAUAUCGUCGUUUAUAAAAAUUUUAUUAGGAUGUUAAUUUUUAUUGUUUAUUAUUAUGUUUUAUUUCAGAUCAAGGUGUAGUUGAUGAUGAAGUUAUAAUGGGUUACAUUACUAGUAAUGUAUGGGUUUUUAAUUUAAAAUUAUGAAUAAAUUGGAUUUGGAAGUAAAUUUUUUAUUUAUGGAAUUUGAUAGAGCUCUAAAAUAUGCACACAUCGCC
rnacentral:rRNA from 1 species